rnacentral:lncRNA from 1 species
CGAUCUCCUUCUUCCCUUUCCCCUCCUCCGCUCGAGGGAAGAUGUCAGAGGGUUAAAAUGUCCUGCUCGCCCUCUCCCUUGAUCUCGGGGAGAGAGGUAAGAGUUGCUGGCACCUUUAUGGGACUCAGACCUGCGGCGGCUGCGGGAAGCGUCGGCCCCCGCUAACUUUGAUCGGCCUUAUUCAUCCCAGCUGCGCUCUAUUUGUUUGUCAUUUCGCCUUUUUACUCCCCGAAUCGUUAUUUAUGGUCUGAAAAGUGAAACGCGCGGUGAUUUGCCUUUACAUGGACUCUUUGCAAACGGGGGUAGACACCUCCUCCCCUCCCCCUCCCCGCGAGGGGGGGCUGCCAAAAGAGAGGGGGGAAAAAACCUGUCUCAAUCAUUAUCAAAUCAGCUUUGAAUUCAUUACUCCAGAGCAUUAACUAAUUACCAGAUCAGAGAGAAGAAAAAAUAAAUAUCCCUUUAAAUAACUGAAGGCAUUCUUUAAGAGCCCGAGCAGCAACAAUAUCCACACAGCCGCCGAACAAGGAGCAAUAAGAUUUUUUUUUUUUAUUUUUGUCUCCUGCACAAAUAUUCGGGAGUAUUUUGAAAUCCCCCGUCACGGAGGACACAAGACGGAGUGGAAAAGUGACUUUUUCUGCCUGUGUGCUUUCCUGCCUUUCCGAGACCAGCAGGGCAGGGGUGGCACCUCCCACCCUCAAUCCCUAAAUCCCGAAAGGAUCCAGGUUCACGGUGACCACCCCCGGGGCCGAGUGGCCACGUCCCUCUGUCCCUUACUCUGCUCUAGGAAAAUGCAGCCGUCUCGUUCCUACAAUGGAAAAGCUCUUUUCGACUACCUGGAUCGUGGGAAGGUUGCCUAAGUACCCGAGAUAUGUCUGAAUGAAGAAGGCAAAGAAUAGAUCGACUUAUAUAUAAAUUCUGUCUGGGGUUUAUUUUGGUGCGAUGGCUUUUGUUGGGUUUUCUUUUGGGAGGGUUGUUUGUUUUUGACCGGUCGUGUUUUUUGUUUGUUGUUUUGUUGGUUUUUGGUUUUGUUUUUUUUUUUUGUGGGGGUGAGGUGAGGUUGGAGGGAGGGGUGGUUUGUUUCAAAAGUUAAUAAGCAAUAAAACCCUCCCGGUAUUGAUUACUGCCGGGUCU